GAUGAACGCUGGCGGCGUGCUUAACACAUGCAAGUCGAACGAUGAAGCCCAGCUUGCUGGGUGGAUUAGUGGCGAACGGGUGAGUAACACGUGAGCAACCUGCCCCUGACUCUGGGAUAAGCGCUGGAAACGGCGUCUAAUACUGGAUAUGUCCCGUCACCGCAUGGUGUGCGGGUGGAAAGAUUUUUCGGUUGGGGAUGGGCUCGCGGCCUAUCAGCUUGUUGAUGAGGUAAUGGCUCACCAAGGCGUCGACGGGUAGCCGGCCUGAGAGGGUGACCGGCCACACUGGGACUGAGGCACGGCCCAGACUCCUACGGGGGGCAGCAGGGGGGAAUAUUGCACAAUGGGCGGGAGCCUGAUGCAGCAACGCCGGGUGAGGGAUGACGGCCUUCGGGUUGUAAACCUCUUUUAGCAGGGAAGAAGCGAAAGUGACGGUACCUGCAGAAAAAGCACCGGCUAACUACGUG
rnacentral:rRNA from 1 species